AAUGCAUAGGAAUCUGCCCGGUAGUGGGGGAUAACCUUGGGGAAACCCAGGCUAAUACCGCAUACGUCCUACGGGAGAAAGGGGGCUUCGGCUCCCGCUAUCGGAUGAGCCUAUGUCGGAUUAGCUAGUUGGUGAGGUAACGGCUCACCAAGGCCACGAUCCGUAGCUGGUCUGAGAGGAUGAUCAGCCACAUCGGGACUGAGACACGGCCCGAACUCCUACGGGAGGCAGCAGUGGGGAAUAUUGGACAAUGGGGGGAACCCUGAUCCAGCCAUGCCGCGUGUGUGAAGAAGGCCCUCGGGUUGUAAAGCACUUUCAGCGAGGAAGAACGCCUAGCGGUUAAUACCCGCUAGGAAAGACAUCACUCGCAGAAGAAGCACCGGCUAACUCCGUGCCAGCAGCCGCGGUAAUACGGAGGGUGCAAGCGUUAAUCGGAAUUACUGGGCGUAAAGCGCGCGUAGGUGGCUUGAUAAGCCGGUUGUGAAAGCCCCGGGCUCAACCUGGGAACGGCAUCCGGAACUGUCAAGCUAGAGUGCAGGAGAGGAAGGUAGAAUUCCCGGUGUAGCGGUGAAAUGCGUAGAGAUCGGGAGGAAUACCAGUGGCGAAGGCGGCCUUCUGGACUGACACUGACACUGAGGUGCGAAAGCGUGGGUAGCAAACAGGAUUAGAUACCCUGGUAGUCCACGCCGUAAACGAUGUCGACCAGCCGUUGGGUGCCUAGCGCACUUUGUGGCGAAGUUAACGCGAUAAGUCGACCGCCUGGGGAGUACGGCCGCAAGGUUAAAACUCAAAUGAAUUGACGGGGGCCCGCACAAGCGGUGGAGCAUGUGGUUUAAUUCGAUGCAACGCGAAGAACCUUACCUACUCUUGACAUCCUGCGAAUUCGGUAGAGAUACCUUAGUGCCUUCGGGAACGCAGAGACAGGUGCUGCAUG
rnacentral:rRNA from 1 species